rnacentral:rRNA from 1 species
AGUAACGGCGAGUGAAGCGGCAAAAGCUCAAAUUUGAAAUCUGACCCUUCGGGUCCGAGUUGUAAUUUGCAGAGAAUGUUUCGGGUAAGAUUAGGGUCUAAGUUCCUUGGAACAGGACGUCAUAGAGGGUGAGAAUCCCGCACGUGACCAUUGAUCGCACCCAUGUGAAACUCCUUCGACGAGACGAGUUGUUUGGGAAUGCAGCUCAAAAUGGGUGGGAAAUUUCAUCUAAAGCUAAAUAUUGGCCAGAGACCGAUAGCGCACAAGUAGAGUGAUCGAAAGAUGAAAAGCACUUUGAAAAGAGAGUUAAACAGUAUGUGAAAUUGUUGAAAGGGAAGCGCUUGCAACCAGACUUGUUUAUGGGGUUCAGCCGUCGUUUUCGUCGGUGUAUUUCCCUAUUAUCAGGCCAGCAUCAGUUUAGUUGGAAGGUCAAAGGCCUUGGGAAUGUAUCAUCCUUCGGGAUGUCUUAUAGCCCUCGGUGUAAUGCUUCCAUCCUGGACUGAGGAACGCGCUUCGGCUCGGAUGCUGGCGUAAUGGUUGUAAGCGACCCGUCUUGAAACACGGACCAAGGAGUCUAACAUCUAUGCGAGUAUUUGGGUGUCAAACCCCAUAUGCGUAAUGAAAGUGAACGGAGGGGGGAAUUUUUAAUG